GCCCUGAUGGCACAGUUGUUAAGGCAUUUGACUGCUAACCAAAAAGUUGGUGGUUCAAAACCACCAGUGCU
rnacentral:tRNA from 1 species